rnacentral:rRNA from 1 species
UGAGGAAUAUUGGUCAAUGGGCGAGAGCCUGAACCAGCCACGUCGCGUGAAGGAAGACUGACCUUACGGUUUGUAAACUUCUUUUGUAGAGGGGUAAUGGCAGAUACGUGUAUUUGCGUGAAAGUACUCUACGAAUAAGCAUCGGCUAACUCCGUGCCAGCAGCCGCGGUAAUACGGGGGAUGCGAGCGUUAUCCGGAAUUAUUGGGUUUAAAGGGUGCGCAGGUGGCUAAUCAGGUCAGUGGUGAAAAGCUAUGGCUCAACCAUUGUCUUGCCAUUGAAACCGUAUAGCUAGAGAGGAGACGAGGUAGGCGGAAUGUGUGGUGUAGCGGUGAAAUGCAUAGAUAUCACACAGAACUCCGAUUGCGAAGGCAGCUUACCAGGCUUUAUCUGACACUUAGGCACGACAGCGUGGGGAUCAAACAGG